rnacentral:rRNA from 1 species
GACGAACGCUGGCGGCGUGCUUAACACAUGCAAGUCGAACGGAAAGGCCCCAGCUUGCUGGCGUACUCGAGUGGCGAACGGGUGAGUAACACGUGGGUAAUCUGCCCUGCACUCUGGGAUAAGCCUGGGAAACUGGGUCUAAUACUGGAUAUGACCUUUCUCCUUAUGGGGUUUGGUGGAAAGUUUUUCGGUGUAGGAUGAGCCCGCGGCCUAUCAGCUUGUUGGUGGGGUGAUGGCCUACCAAGGCGACGACGGGUAGCCGGCCUGGGAGGGUGAUCGGCCACAUUGGGACUGAGAUACGGCCCAGACUCCUACGGGAGGCAGCAGUGGGGAAUAUUGCACAAUGGGCGGAAGCCUGAUGCAGCGACGCCGCGUGAGGGAUGACGGCCUUCGGGUUGUAAACCUCUUUCAGCAGGGACGAAGCGUAAGUGACGGUACCUGCAGAAGAAGCACCGGCUAACUAUGUG